UUCUUACAACCUGAUUCACAGAACGUUUUGCGCGGUGCAAAAGGAAUAAGUACACUUUGCGCUGCGCAAAGCCAAAGUUGCUAAUUCAUGGAUCAGAUUUUACGCAGGUCUGCAACUACUUUGCAUUGGUCCUUACCUAGUUUGUACUCUGCAAAGUGUAGGAAUGGCCAGCGCAAAGUAAUACAUAGGGGGCAGAACAUGCAUAUUCUUCAUUCUGUGCAAAAUGAGAAAGAACGAGGAAUAACGUGGGCGUGUUGAGGGACGCACCGCGCAAACAACCAUGCCUCCUCAAGCGUAAAGACAAACUUAUUUAUGGAUUUCGUCAUGCAAACUACAGGAGACAAAGGAGGACACAAAUCUCACGUACUCACCGCCACGUGAUAACUGUCUCAAAGAAAGCCCAACUAUAAAAACGCAACACAACGUUAAGAAGUGGUCGUGUGUGCCUAAUUUUGAUUUCUAAAGAAGCUUUGUACUGUAUUCUUUACUUUAACACAGCAUACCUUUCAUUUUUAAGAAGUUAAAGUGCAAAUACUAUUGAAGAAGAGAACAGGCAUUGCCCAAGGCAAGAGCCUCCCCAUUUUAACAGUGAAACCAACCUUUCUCAAAGUGCAAAAGCAAUCUAACUGUACUGUGAAGUUAAUUGGCCUAAGAUAUGAGUGUGCAAACAUUACCUGAAGCUAGAAGAGGUGGCACCACGGCUUCUGGGUAACGACUUGUGAUGAUCACUGGCAGAAAGGUGUAAGUAAGGUUGGGGAAGGGAAACUGGCUGCUUGUAAAUACUAUUUUGAAGUUGACACAACCUGCAGUGCCAGAGACUGUACAAGACAGAAAAAAGUGAGUCUUAAAGCCAAACCCAGGUUGCUCUUGUGGCUGAUAGACAGGAGAGGCAAAGAGGCUGAACCUUUUUGAAGAGAGUUAUUCAGAGGAAGAGUGCCCUGCCUACUUGAAGUUGUUGAAGUACUUUAAAGAAUGUCUUGUUGAAGCCUAUCUAGAAAUACAACCAUGAAGCUGUCGUAGUAGCCCAAAGUACUGAAGAUGAGGUGGUAUAUCUAAGUGUCAGUAGCUGCAACAUUGUAGUAUUCUAGACAAAGUAGAGUGCUGUGUGACAAAGGUGACUGUAUCAAGUAGAAGUGAAGUUGUUGAAGUGGAAGCAGCAGCACUAAGAAGUCAUCCUGACAAAUAUAUCAUUGUGAAUUCUAAAACUGUAACCACGAACUGUACAUUACUGGCAGUUGAGGAUAUUUCAUUUCUUUUUGAAUGUGGCAAGUCUUCCAGUUGACAAAGCAUUGGGGCCGGGAUUACCACUGAUGCUAUUUGGUGGAAGCCGAUAGUGGAUAUUUCACCAAGGAGAAAAGGUUUGCAAUCAUUGGAAGUUUGGUUAACAAACUUUUACAUUGACUUUGAAAUAUCAAGAACCGAUUGGAAACAUUUCUUUCUUUGGUUGAACCCUAACAGAACUGGCCUUGAAUCUUGAGAAAGGGAAAUCAUCCCGGACAGUAGACAGUUAUUCAGACAUAGUGGAUGUUGUUCAUGCAAUGGUGUAGUGUCAAAUAUUUUCUUUGUGUAUUUGUUGCUAAGUGUGAGGGCCAGUUAUCCUUUGUUUCCCCUUAGCCUUGGUUAGGCAGGGAAAUCCUCAGCAGAUUAGGGAUAGUGAGGUAUUUUGAAUAUUUUCUUUCAGAAUAAAAUGGCAUAUGUUGAUAAAUCAUCAAACAGCUGUCUGCCUCGUGUUAGUGUCCCCUCACACCUUCCUGUGACUUACUGUUGACAGUGUGUAAGAGUACUGUCUGCGCUCCACUUGGUUCUCGCUGACAUACCCAGGCUCUGCACAUCUAUCAGAUGGCCAAGGGCUAUGCCCCACACAAUGUGCCAGGUGCACUUUGUCUGCUGUGGGCACUCUUCUGAGUGGCUGAGUCCUAUUCUGGCACAGCAGGGUGCCUGGCUGACAGAAGAAACUGAGAAGACUUGCACCUCAAUGGCAGGGCAGCCUGUCCAUCUGGCUCCCUGCAAUCCACUGGUUCAUUUGGCGCACUUGGUCCAUCCUGGACUUUGUGAUAGGUAAUGUCUUCAGCAUGUCCGCUCAGGGAGUGCCCCCUUAGAUGGAUGUGUCUCCCCUCCAAGCAGUGCAAAGGCCAAGCAUCCCAGCAGCUCCCCGGCAGUCAGAUCAAAGUGGAAUGGAGAUCAGCUGGCUACAGGUCCAGGCUGUAGGUGAAAGACCACUGCUCAAAUUGUUUAUUUCACUUACCUGGUGAGGUGGCUGGCACGGCCUGUGGAGCUCUCACUUCUGGCUGUAAGCACCCGGCACCCACUGGGGGUGACCUGCUCAAGGGGUAGUGGCAAUUGGGGAGAAUUACUGGGGCGGUACACCUGUCAAAUGAUAAUGCAGGUAUCUUAAGGGAAUCUCAGGGAGGACAGAAUCCCCAAGCAGAGCAGAAGGGCAAAAGCUCACUUGAUCUCGAUUUACUGUAUGAAUACAAUCCACGAGAGCAGGGAUUAAAGCUCCUUCUGACAUGUUGGGUUUCAAGCAGGAGGUGUCUGAGAAGUUACCUCAGGGAUAAAAGGCUUGUGGUUGCCAAACAUUCAUAGUGACACCACAUUUUCAUCCUUCAAUUUCAGCUCUUCCUAUAAUUGUGAAGCAGUAUUCACCAAGAGUUGGUUUGUUCACACACUAAUAGGGAACGUGAGCUGGAUUUACACUGUAAUGACAACAUUUGGUUUUUACCUACUGAUGAUGUGCUAUUGCAAUGGUAAUCCUGUUCAGUACAAGAGGAACCGCAGGUUCAGACAUUGGUGUAUGUGCUUGAGUGUGGAGCCAAUGGGGAGUAGCUACCAUCUGUGGGAUUGUGAGUGAACGCCUCUAAGUAAGAAUCCCACCGAACAGUAUUGAUUCUAAUGUGCUGUGGAGCCUAGGUUGUAGAGCUGCUUGCCUCGGGACUCCAUUGUGGACAGAGGGGGCCACCUCUCUCGCCCGUAGUGUACCGUAUGUUCAUGGGGAACCUGGUGAGAAAUCAUUAAUAGACUAACUGACUCUGGGUCAGGGUUUUGUAAGUAGCAGAGCAGCUUCCUCGCUGCGAUCUACUGGAAGUCAUCCCU
rnacentral:rRNA from 1 species